rnacentral:rRNA from 1 species
CAAUAGCGUAUAUUAAAGUUGUUGCGGUUAAAAAGUUCGUAGUUGGAUUUCUGCCAAGGACGACCGGUCCGCCCUCUGGGUGAGUAUCUGGCUUGGCCUGGGCAUCUUCUUGGAGAACGUCGCUGCACUUCACUGUGUGGUGCGGUAUCCAGGACUUUUACUUUGAGGAAAUUAGAGUGUUUCAAGCAGGCUUCCGCCUUGAAUACAUUAGCAUGGAAUAAUAAGAUAGGACCUCGGUUCUGUUUUGUUGGUUUCUAGAGCUGGGGUAAUGAUUAAUAGGGAUAGUUGGGGGCAUUCGUAUUUAACUGUCAGAGGCGAAAUUCUUGGAUUUGUUAAAGACGGACUACUGCGAAAGCAUUUGCCAAGGAUGUUUUCAUUGA